AGGCUACACAGCGAACCUGUGUAAUUCGUACAGCACGCUGCCAUACACCCGGGCCAGGAGUAUAUUUAACACGGCAGACCAAACCCCAUCAAACCCCAUAUGUGACGAUAAACUCGUUCCGGGCUGGUAUGCCAUGGAGUAUUUUGCGUCCAUUCCUACGUCCUGUCCAGCUUCCUUUAGUUGUGGAACCCUCCUCCCUGUAUGGAUAAAUGGCAGUAACCCGGGCACGACUGAUGGACCCGUCACUAUGCAGGCUUGUGUAAACUCGGGAGUCGCUACGUCCUGCUGCUCGUCAGUAUUCGACAUCGGAGUCAGGAACUGUGGCUCGUUUUUCAUAUAUUUCCUCAGACCAACCCCUGGAUGUCCGGUAGCUUACUGCUCAGAUUUUAAAGAAUUGCGCAGCACUACAGUCGGUACAACUCUCACAACAGCCGGAAGUACUCUGUCCAGUGGUCGUACACAAGGCACGCCGCAAUCCACCGCGGCCACAAAACCACCCACAAAACCGUCCACUGUCGGACCACACUGGAUCACCUUCCCACAUUAAACAGAUUUUGCAGAACACAAGAACAUUUUAUCAUCAAAUAAAUGAUAAUUAUUGA